CCGGCGUUGCUCCGGGCAACCGAUGGGGAUGAAUCUACGCGACGCCCGGCGUCGAGUUUCCUCGUAGCGGGUGGGGCUGUUAGACUCUCAGUGCGCUCCACGACGCUCAACCGACCACGUACAACCCGUUGCAGAGUACCACGAUAAGUAAUAAAGUUGUGCGAGAGAGCAGUGAACAUCGCGAGUGACGUUCAUUUUGUUCCCGUUUAUCCUCGUCGGACACGCUUUCGAGGAUCGAGGGAUCCGUCCAGGAAGAGAGAGAGAGGAUCGUCGAUCGUAAGUCGAGGAGGAGGCGGUAACGGAGUCGUUGCAGAGAGUUUUUCCACGCGUUAGCACAAGAUUCGAGAUUUUUUUCUUUUCUCUCGGUUUAUUGUUUAGUAUCAAAUUCGAUCCCGCGAAAUCUCGGAUUUGUCCCUUCUUCCACUUCUUCUCGCAGCCUGGAAUAAUCAGACUACUCGUCCUGGGCUCGAGGCAACGAUUCUCCCGUACAAAUGCACG